UUACUUCAACAGCACAUAUCCUAAAAUUUAGAACAUUACAGAUGAGAUUAGCUUGGCCUCUGUGCAACAAUUUCACUCAAAUUUGUGAAGCAUUCCAUAUUUUA